UACGUAGGUGGCGAGCGUUAUUCGGAUUUACUGGGCGUAAAGGGUCCGUAGGGGGACUUUUAAGUCUGAUGUGAAAUGCCGCAGCUCAACUGCGGAACUGCAUUGGAAACUGAAAGUCUUGAAUCAGGUAGAGGUAAGUGGAAUUCGUGGUGUAGCGGUGGAAUGCGUAGAUAUCACGAGGAACUCCAAAGGCGAAGGCAGCUUACUGGGCCAUGAUUGACCCUGAGGGACGAAGGCCAGGGUAGCGAAAAGG
rnacentral:rRNA from 1 species